AGCCCAAGAGAUGCACCUCAAUGGCCCCCACCAGUGUCCGUAUCAGCAAGCCUGGACCAGCUCAGAACAACGGCCCCCACCAAUGUCUCAGUCUCCGGAGAGGACCCUCCUCUCACCAAGAUGCCCCCAGAGCCCACCAGCUGGAGGUACUCGAUGCCCAAUAACUGUCUCCCUUCACCUUAAGGCAUAAAUUUUUAUAAGAGGCAAGAAGAAUGCAAUGAUGUUCAGCUCAAUUACCAGGGGUGUGAAAUCAUCUUUUCUCUGAGAUCAAAAUGAGUAUAACACUAUUUACCACGUGAAGUUGUUUCAAGAAUUGAAAGCUUGAUGCUGGCAAAAGCUAUUAAUAUAUGUAGCUCAUAGAAGACUUUCAAGGAUUUAACUGGGAAAUGGAGUCCUGUCCAACACUCAAGCACAGCAUCACCCAGUCCAUGGCUGGUCUACCACAUUUCCACCGUGUCUUCACAGAGAGAAGGAAAAAUCCAGGGGAAAAUGCAAAGAAAAGAGAAAAAGGGAACAAGAAGCAGGACGAAGAUUGAUCAAAAACUAUCCCCAAAAUCAGAAAGUCACCCUACUUACUAAAGCACUGAAAAUGUCUGUUGAUAGGUCAAAAGAGAAGUCCCAGUGAAGGGGCUUAAGGUGCAUGGGGGACAUGGGAAGACAGCCUUGGAAUGACAAUGCCCUAAGGGUAGGAGAGAAAUAGAAGCAAGUGUGGAGUCCCCUAAGGGAAAUGAACAAUGAAGAGGAAAAUAACAAAAAGAAGAAAGGCUAAUUUGGUACAGUACAAGAAAAAAGAAAUUAAAAAUGUGAAGAUACAUAACACUUCCCCAAACUUUCUUCAAAACAAAUAGUCAUCCAAUAAAGAAAACCUACUUUGCUACCCUAAAAGAAGGGAAUGCUCUUCAACUACAGACCUGAUAAACUAAAUAAAAUUGUCGUCCCUGUCCACAGAAACCGAAAAGUUACAGCUGUCUUCAUCUAUAUAAACUGUAUUAAUCUAUAUGAAACAUUAAAAAAAAUAAAAUAGAAAACAAGAAUCCCAAUAAUUCAUCAACGGACCCCCACUCCUACCCACAUAUACACACAAUGGCAAAGUAGAAGAAAUGCGUAAAGCAGCACUCCAUACUGAAUGAAAGUCUCUCUAUCCUCUACAUCUGACCGGGAGACAUGGAAAGAAAACAUGAAGCAACAAGUCUUAAGCAUCAUGUCUGAAGAGGAUAUGCCUCAUUUCCGCCCAUAUCUCAUUGACCAGAGCCAAUUUCCUGGCAUCGACUAAAUCUAAGAGGGCCGACAAAUGUGCUUUCGCCACACCAAGAAGAGAAGCAUGUCACACAUAUUGCUGAAAAGAACAUGGCUCGCUGGGGACACAAAGAAGGACAUUAUCAACUUAAUCUAAUUAAGCAUUCCA
rnacentral:lncRNA from 1 species